GACGAACGCUGGCGGCGUGCUUAACACAUGCAAGUCGAGCGGUAAGGCCCUUUCGGGGGUACACGAGCGGCGAACGGGUGAGUAACACGUGGGUGACCUGCCCUCAGCUCUGGGAUAAGCCUGGGAAACCGGGUCUAAUACCGGAUAUGACUCCAUGACGCAUGUUGUGGGGUGGAAAGCCUUGUGCGGCUGAGGAUGGGCCCGCGGCCUAUCAGCUUGUUGGUGGGGUGAUGGCCUACCAAGGCGACGACGGGUAGCCGGCCUGAGAGGGCGACCGGCCACACUGGGACUGAGACACGGCCCAGACUCCUACGGGAGGCAGCAGUGGGGAAUCUUGCACAAUGGGCGAAAGCCUGACGCAGCGACGCCGCGUGAGGGAUGACGGCCUGGUGU
rnacentral:rRNA from 1 species